ACGUAAUUCUUCUUAAUGUGACAAAUGAACUGCUCUAAUCUCUAGCAAGCUCUUCGCUCGCCUCCCGCGUUCAGCUGUGCUAAAUGAAAGCUUUUAUGCAAAUGAAAUAUUUUAAGGGGGCACAAGUUAUUUUUUAUUCAAAUAAGCACGGUAGCUCCUCGUAAAGCGGAUUUGAACUUGUCACGUAAACAAGUGUCACCGAAUGCUGAAUCUUGGCACCCAUAUCAUCGCUUCGAAACUCUAUAUUCAGAUUCCCACUUUGUGACACGUCGCGGUAAAGCUUGUUAGCUUUAGCCCAGGUUCUUUAACGGUGACUCACCUGUUUGUACAGUAAACAGGGAACUUCAAACGGCCACGGAAACUAGGAGCCCAGAUAACGUCCAUCUCCUGUGAGACGUGCUCGGUUGAAAGCUUACUCUAUCAACAGAGCAAACAGGCUAAAUUAUGCACAGUAAUACACAGGGCCCCGCGCACGCGCAUCAAUCACCUGUAAGCGGAAUGCAAUCGAUCACAUUCGCGAAAACGUCACCGCACGCUCACACCAGAACUAUUUCCUCCCUAUAGCUUGUAAGGAAUUACAUUACAGCACAAUUCUGCCAGCUUAGACGCGAAUGCAUUUAAACAUUUACAACAAUACAUCACAAUAUAUGGCGCUGUCACCGUGGAGCCAAGAGGCAUAUUGCCAAGUCUCAGGCAAUGUGACUCCAGCACUCUGGAAUGACAAACCCUCCGUCUGCAGUAUUUACGACGAUCUGUGGUGUUCAUAAUGCAUUGGCCGUCCCGGAGCAGAAAGCAGACAGGCUUUCUAAUCUAACAUGGCGUGCUGCAGACCGGCGGAGAGAGAAAGAGAGAGAGAGAGCUGUCACAGAGACAUGCAGCCUCACAGCCGUGGACACAUCCAUAAUGUGGAACUCAGUGGGCCAAGCACAUCCCAGCGUUCCCCUCUUCAUCACAAAUUCCAACACAAGCCCUUCUGCCACCAGCACGCAGAGUACACAGAGUUCUGACUAGCUUCUGAAUUCAAUAUCAAACCCAGGUUGCAGAAAGGGACUGGUGAAUCUCUUCACAAUCUUCAGGAUCUCAGACUAUUAAUUCCAGUGAGGAAUGUCCUCAUAUUGGCUGGUGCUCAGAACAAAGCGCUUCAACACAGCAUGAAAAAUGACACCUCCACCUGUUCUACCCCCACUUCCACAACUGUGAAUUAUGGGUAAGUUUCUGUGCCAAUGCAUAUGAGUAACCACC